GCCUGAUCCAGCCAUGCCGCGUGCAGGAAGACGGCCUUCUGGGUUGUAAACUGCUUUUGCCAGGGGAUAAAAAGUCCCUGCGGGGAAAAUUGAAGGUACCUGGUGAAUAAGCCACGGCUAACUACGUGCCAGCAGCCGCGGUAAUACGUAGGUGGCAAGCGUUGUCCGGAUUUAUUGGGUUUAAAGGGUGCGUAGGUUGUGUUGUAAGUCAGUGGUGAAAUCCGGCAGCUUAACUGUCGAUGUGCCAUUGAUACUGCAGCACUUGAGUACAGACGAGGUAGGCGGAAUUGACGGUGUAGCGGUGAAAUGCUUAGAUAUCGUCAAGAACACCGAUAGCGAAGGCAGCUUACUAGACUGUAACUGACACUGAUGCACGAAAGUGUGGGGAUCAAACAGGAUUAGAUACCCUGGUAGUCCACACUGUAAACGAUGAUUACUCGAUGUUGGCGAUACACAGCCAGCGUCUUAGCGAAAGCGAUAAGUAAUCCACCUGGGGAGUACGCCG
rnacentral:rRNA from 1 species